AGCGGCGGACGGGUGAGUAACGCGUGGGUAACCUGCCUUAUACAGGGGGAUAACAGUUAGAAAUGACUGCUAAUACCGCAUAAGCGCACAGUACCGCAUGGUACAGUGUGAAAAACUCCGGUGGUAUAAGAUGGACCCGCGUCUGAUUAGCCAGUUGGCGGGGUAAUGGCCCACCAAAGCGACGAUCAGUAGCCGACCUGAGAGGGUGACCGGCCACAUUGGGACUGAGACACGGCCCAAACUCCUACGGAAGGCAGCAG
rnacentral:rRNA from 1 species